CUGAAAUUAUGACAUUACUAGGGCAAUUGUAUUCAAUUAAUGCUUGGCAUCUUGACUUUGAUAAAGUCAGUAUAACUUUCAAUGCUAAACAAAAAGACUGAAUUAAUUUCUGGCCAUUGUAGGAGUCUCCUAUUAACUUAAUGGAACCCUGCAGCUGUGAAGAAUACUGGGGAGUCUUGGCAACAUCACCAGCACAGCAGCCUUGGCUAACUUCCUGAAUUAGGCCUUUUCUUUGCAGUUUUUUUCAGUGCUAUAAUAAAACCAUGGUGCUGAUUUAUGAUGAACGUGGAGAUGUACCACCUAGAUUUCUCUUCAAGGAAGGACUUGUUUCCUCUGCUGAUGGAAUUCCUGUCAACAGAGACCUUUCAGGUGCCAGUGACUUGGAGAAGGCCUGAGCUGUAGAGCAACAUCACCUAAGGUCACGCCCUACGUGAGUCAGCAGAAUCCACUGACUGAUGGAGAUUAUAAAGACUUAGCCAUUUUGUCUCAAUGAGGUGUACCUACAAUGGGUCAUAUGAGCUCCACAGCUCCCUGUGGAGUCAGCUCAGACUGUUGUUGACUUACAUUGUACCUCAACUUCUCUCUCUGCCAAAUCUAGCUCCCUUUACCUCACAAUCAUAGGCGUUCAUCCCAAAGACAUCCCUUAAUAUAAAUAAUGCACAAUAUACUCUAUAUGUUAAUCUGUUCCACAUUAAUUUUUUUAUGUAAAUCUGUGUGUGUGUGUGUGUGUGUGUGUGUGUGUGUGUGUGUGUGUGUGGCAGAAAAGCAUAAAAAUCAUCCCUCUAAACUUUUAUUUAUAUAACUGGUCUCCAAGCCAAGGUGAUAAUAAAAUAUUAGAAUUUUGAAAAGCUCAAAUACCAGUAAAAACAGAUACAUCUUGAAGAAGUGCAUUAACCUUUUGCUUGCUGGUCUGUGUGAAGGUCAGAGAUACAGCAGUCAAGAUGAAAGUAUUUAAAUGUUUCAGUUACUGACAUGGAGGUCUUGGAUCACUCUGAGUAUCAGUCCUCCCCUUAGCAAAGUGGGACCAUUGUUGCAGCUGGUUCCUAACAUGGAGUCAGAUUUGGGGCAGGAACCCAGUGCUCUAGGGAUUUUUACCAGAAAAAAAAAGGUAAAUAAACAUGUACAGUUUUCCACAGUGGUAAUAGCCUCUGUCAUAUGGCAGCCCUCUAACUGAUCUAGAGCCCAAAGUGUCAUCCCUUUUACUCUCAAAAAGUACUUGUAGCUCUGCCACUCUACCAGCAGUCAGGAAAGUGUCUUCACACAGAGUAGCUCAAAGGAAACUGCUAGACUAAGCAGUGAACAUUCCUGCUGAGAGAUUACCUUUCAAGUGGCUUGCUCUCUACUUCUCAUGGCCAACUAGAACGCCAUUCUAAACAAAACUACAAAAGAAGAGAGAGAAAGCAGGCUACAGAAAAUCUCUUCUCUCUCUUUUGUCACUCAGGUAUUGACCAAAGAUGCACAUAUUUUGAUUGAAGAUAUUGCAAUUGCUAAUAUUCGAUGACUUAGACCUCCCUUUCUAAAUUGUGAGCCAGCACAGUAAAAUCACUGGAGUGAGGAUGGUGUUCUACAGUUUUCAUCAAUAUAUGAUAUCGAUUUGGAUGCUUUUAGUAUUUACCAUAACAGGUGGCAUACUUCCACAGCUUGGUUUUUCACACAUUUCGUAUUUUUUUAAGAUCUAUCUACAUGGAUUCAUGUGGUUCUAUUUCAUUAAUUCACUACUAAGUAGCUUUCCAACACAGUGAUAUACCUUAGAUUUUUUUUUAACUUUUAUUUUAAGUUCAGGGGUAUAUGUGCAGGUUGUUACAUAGGUAAACGUGAGUCAUAGGGGUUUGUUGUACUGAUUAUUUCAUCACCCAGGUAUUAAGCCUAGUACCCAUUAGUUUUUCUCCUGAUCCUCUCCCUUCUCCCAUCCUCCACUCUCCAAUAUGUCCCAGUGUGUGUUGUUCCCCUCUAUGUGUCCAUGUGUUCUCAUCAUUUAGCACCUACUUAUAAGUAAGAACAUGCAGUUUUUGGUUUUCUGUUCCUGUGUUAGUUCUCUAAGGAUAUUGGCCUCUAACUUCUUCCACCUCUUGGCAAAGGACAUGAUCUUGUUCUUUUUAUGGCUACAUAGCAUUCCAUGGUUUAUAUUUACCACAUUUUCCUCAUCCAGUCUAUCACUGAGGCAUUUAGGAUGAUUCCAUGUUUUUGCUAUUGUGAAUAGUGCUG
rnacentral:lncRNA from 10 species